CUAUACUGUGAAACUGCGAAUGGCUCAUUAAAUCAGUUAUCGUUUAUUUGAUAGUACCUUACUACUUGGAUAACCGUGGUAAUUCUAGAGCUAAUACAUGCUAAAAACCCCGACUUUUGGAGGGGUGUAUUUAUUAGAUAAAAAACCAAUGCCCUUCGGGGCUCCUUGGUGAUUCAUAAUAACUUAACGAAUCGCAUGGCCUUGUGCCGGCGAUGGUUCAUUCAAAUUUCUGCCCUAUCAACUUUCGAUGGUUAGGUCUUGGCUAACCAUGGUUUCAACGGGUAACGGGGAAUUAGGGUUCUAUUCCGGAGAGUGAGCCUGAGAAACGGCUAACACAUCCAAGGAAGGCAGCAGGCGCGCAAAUUACCCAAUCCCGACACGGGGAGGUAGUGACAAUAAAUACUGAUCCAGGGCUCUUUUGGGUCUUGGAAUUGGAAUGAGUACAAUUUAAAUCCCUUAACGAGGAACAAUUGGAGGGCAAGUCUGGUGCCAGCAGCCGCGGUAAUUCCAGCUCCAAUAGCGUAUAUUAAAGUUGUUGCAGUUAAAAAGCUCGUAGUUGAACCUUGGGUCUGGCUGGCCGGUCCGCCUCACCGCGUGUACUGGUCCGGCCGGACCUUUCCUUCUGGGGAAUCGCAUGCCCUUCACUGGGUGUGUCGAGGAUCCAGGACUUUUACUUUGAAAAAAUUAGAGUGUUCAAAGCAGGCCUAUGCUCGAAUACAUUAGCAUGGAAUAAUAGAAUAGGACGUGUGGUUCUAUUUUGUUGGUUUCUAGGACCGCCGUAAUGAUUAAUAGGGAUAGUCGGGGGCAUCAGUAUUCAAUUGUCAGAGGUGAAAUUCUUGGAUUAAUUGAAGACUAACUACUGCGAAAGCAUUUGCCAAGGAUGUUUUCAUUAAUCAGUGAACGAAAGUUAGGGGAUCGAAGACGAUCAGAUACCGUCGUAGUCUUAACCAUAAACUAUGCCGACUAGGGAUCGGGCGAUGUUACUUUUUUGACUCGCUCGGCACCUUACGAGAAAUCAAAGUC
rnacentral:rRNA from 1 species